rnacentral:lncRNA from 1 species
CGUUCGCCUUUUCCUGCGGUUCUGUGCCGAGGCCUCCUGCGUCUGCUAGAAUUCCCCGCCCCCAGCCUUGCCGCUCGGGAAACUCUUCCAAAACAGUUUGAAGAUAAUGUGUGCAGUUCCUCCUACUUCCAAGUGUUUGAAUUCCUCUUGCAUUAUGGCCUCAUAAAACUACAGUACACCAA